AGGCUUGAAAGAGAAGUACGGCUAGAUAACGAGGAUUGCCAUGAAUCUUUAUAGAAGCUCGAGGUGGAGGCUGUGCUUGGGAUCAUGAAAUUGUUGGUGCUGGUUGAUGAGUUUUCUAUUGAAGAUUGUUGGGAUUUCUUGGACUUUCUCGGUGAUGAUGAUUUUGGUCUGGUUGAGUGUUCAAUGACUUCUGCGGUCAUUUUCUUCUUGGAUUUACAGAUGGAGAACAUCAACCCCAAAAUCGAAAGAAAUAAUUGAAAUGAGACGUUUGCAAUUGGGGACGCGGAGAGUGACGGUGGAAUUAGCAUAUAGGUGGUGGCGGGCGGUGGUUCUAGGUGGUGGAGUAGGUUAGUUUAGCCCAAUCUAUGGUUCUUUGUCAGCGGAUUAUUGAAGAAGACGAGAUUUUACAGGGAGGGAUUCAGAGUUUUUUGAGUUUUGUUUAGUGAAGUCUUUUUCGUUUGGGGUCUUAAAUGGUUUCUGUCGCGACUAGUUUGGUUUGACUGUGUUUGGCUGGGAAUAAGUUGUUUUCUCUCGUAAAAAAGAUUUCCUGUUUGGUAGGGAUUUUGAGAAUUAAUUUUUUUAUCGUUAAAAGAAAAGUGGGGUCCACAUGUGAGAGAAGAAGUCAAAAAUUACGGUUUGAAUAGUAAAAUAUCGGUCAAAAAAUCCCUACCAAACGGAGCGGAGGACGGAUUCUCGGAGGCUUGAAAGAGAAGUACGGCUAGAUAACGAGGAUUGCCAUGAAUCUUUAUAGAAGCUCGAGGUGGAUGCUGUGCUUGGGAUCAUGAAAUUGUUGGUGCUGGUUGAUGAGUUUUCUAUUGAAGAUUGUUGGGAUUUCUUGGAUUUUCUCGGUGAUGAUGAUUUUGGUCUGGUUGAGUGUUCAAUGACUUCUGCGGUCAUUUUCUUCUU
rnacentral:lncRNA from 1 species